rnacentral:rRNA from 1 species
AAAGAUUAAGCCAUGCAUGUCUAAGUAUAAGCAAUUUAUACAGUGAAACUGCGAAUGGCUCAUUAAAUCAGUUAUCGUUUAUUUGAUAGUUCCUUUACUACAUGGUAUAACUGUGGUAAUUCUAGAGCUAAUACAUGCUUAAAAUCCCGACCUUUUGGAAGGGAUGUAUUUAUUAGAUAAAAAAUCAAUGUCUUCGGACUCUUUGAUGAUUCAUAAUAACUUUUCGAAUCGCAUGGCCUUGUGCCGGCGAUGGUUCAUUCAAAUUUCUGCCCUAUCAACUUUCGAUGGUAGGAUAGUGGCCUACCAUGGUUU